UCUCCGAAAUAUAUUUAGGUAUAGCGUUGUGUCGUAAUAUAAGGGGGUAGAGCACUGAAUGGGCUAGGGCAUACACCAAUGUACCAAACCCUAUCAAACUCCGAAUACCUUAUAUGUAAUCACAGCAGUCAGGCGGCGAGUGAUAAAAUCCGUCGUCAAGAGGGAAACAACCCAGACUACCAGCUAAGGUCCCUAAAUCUUACUUAAGUGGAAAACGAUGUGAAGUUACUUAAACAACCAGGAGGUUGGCUUAGAAGCAGCCAUCCUUUAAAGAAAGCGUAAUAGCUCACUGGUCUAGUGAUUUUGCGCGGAAAAUAUAACGGGGCUAAAGUAAGUACCGAAGCUGUAGACUUAGUUUACUAAGUGGUAGGAGAGCGUUCUAUUUGCGUCGAAGGUAUACCGGUAAGGAGUGCUGGAGCGAAUAGAAGUGAGCAUGCAGGCAUGAGUAGCGAUAAUUAAUGUGAGAAUCAUUAACGCCGUAAACCCAAGGUUUCCUACGCGAUGCUCGUCAUCGUAGGGUUAGUCGGGUCCUAAGUCGAGUCCGAAAGGGGUAGACGAUGGCAAAUUGGUUAAUAUUCCAAUACCAACAUUAGUGUGCGAUGGAAGGACGCUUAGGGCUAAGGGGGCUAGCGGAUGGAAGUGCUAGUCUAAGGUCGUAGGAGGUUAUACAGGCAAAUCCGUAUAACAAUACUCCGAGAACUGAAAGGCUUUUUGAAGUCUUCGGAUGGAUAGAAGAACCCCUGAUGCCGUCGAGCCAAGAAAAGUUUCUAAGUUUAGCUAAUGUUGCCCGUACCGUAAACCGACACAGGUGGGUGGGAUGAGUAUUCUAAGGCGCGUGGAAGAACUCUCUUUAAGGAACUCUGCAAAAUAGCACCGUAUCUUCGGUAUAAGGUGUGGUUAGCUUUGUAUUAGGAUUUACUCCGAAAGCAAGGAAACUUACAACAAAGAGUCCCUCCCGACUGUUUACCAAAAACACAGCACUCUGCUAACUCGUAAGAGGAUGUAUAGGGUGUGACGCCUGCCCGGUGCUCGAAGGUUAAUUGAUGGGGUUAGCAUUAGCGAAGCUCUUGAUCGAAGCCCGAGUAAACGGCGGCCGUAACUAUAACGGUCCUAAGGUAGCGAAAUUCCUUGUCGGUUAAAUACCGACCUGCAUGAAUGGCGUAACGAGAUGGGAGCUGUCUCAAAGAGGGAUCCAGUGAAAUUGUAGUGGAGGUGAAAAUUCCUCCUACCCGCGGCAAGACGGAAAGACCCCGUGGACCUUUACUACAGCUUGACACUGCUACUUGGAUAAGAAUGUGCAGGAUAGGUGGGAGGCUUUGAGUAUAUGACGCCAGUUGUAUAUGAGCCAUUGUUGAGAUACCACUCUUUCUUAUUUGGGUAGCUAACCAGCUUGAGUUAUCCUCAAGUGGGACAAUGUCUGGUGGGUAGUUUGACUGGGGCGGUCGCCUCCCAAAUAAUAACGGAGGCUUACAAAGGUUGGCUCAGAACGGUUGGAAAUCGUUCGUAGAGUAUAAAGGUAUAAGCCAGCUUAACUGCAAGACAUACAAGUCAAGCAGAGACGAAAGUCGGUCUUAGUGAUCCGGUGGUUCUGUGUGGAAGGGCCAUCGCUCAAAGGAUAAAAGGUACCCCGGGGAUAACAGGCUGAUCUCCCCCAAGAGCUCACAUCGACGGGGAGGUUUGGCACCUCGAUGUCGGCUCAUCGCAUCCUGGGGCUGGAGCAGGUCCCAAGGGUAUGGCUGUUCGCCAUUUAAAGCGGUACGCGAGCUGGGUUCAGAACGUCGUGAGACAGUUCGGUCCCUAUCUGCCGUGGGCGUAAGAAGAUUGAAGAGAUUUGACCCUAGUACGAGAGGACCGGGUUGAACAAACCACUGGUGUAGCUGUUGUUCUGCCAAGAGCAUCGCAGCGUAGCUAAGUUUGGAAAGGAUAAACGCUGAAAGCAUCUAAGCGUGAAGCCAACUCUAAGAUGAAUCUUCUCUAAGCUCUCUAGAAGACUACUAGUUUGAUAGGCUGGGUGUGUAAUGGAUGAAAGUCCUUUAGCUGACCAGUACUAAUAGAGCGUUUGGCUUAUCUUUAAUAAAGCAU
rnacentral:rRNA from 1 species